rnacentral:lncRNA from 1 species
GUAUGGUGGGGUUCAACCAGCUUGGCUCCAUUGUCGGUUCCCUCGUGCUACAACUGUUUGGCUGACACUUUUGAUAUUUUCUUCUCUUUCUUUUUCAUGAAUAAUAAUAAAAUAUCUUCCUACUAUAAAAAGAAGUUACUAGUUUUCCUUUCAUAUAUCUUGAAAAAUUAAUACAAACUUAGUAAAGUAAGAUAACAGCAUGAAACUUUAAAAUAUUCAUGUGAAAAGAGGUUUUUAUUUAUUUUUCAAUAAAAUAGCUUGUUCUGUCUCAAAAUAAGUUAGGUAUAAUAUUUAAAUUUUUUUUUUGAAAAAUUUGAAUAAAUUUUUAUUUUUUCAUUUCAUUUAAUCAAAUUCUUAUAAUUUUAUUUUAGAUCUAAUAAAUCUUUAUGACUAACGUUUGAAUACUUAUUAUUAAUUAAAAAAUUAUUUGUCAUUUUAUGUUACGUGGACGUAAUAUGCUGAUAUAUCAUAAAAGACAAUAAUAUAACAUGUUGAUAUGACAUAAUGAUAUGAUUACAUGGUAUUUUUCAUCUUUUAUGUCAAUAUCAUGUUAACGUCGUGUGAGCAGAAAAUAACAACUGACAUAAUCAACUCUUAGUUAUGAAGGUCAUUUUGAUUUAAAAUAAAAAUAUAUAAAUUUAAUUAAAUAUAAUAAAAAAAUAAAAAUUUUAUUUAAAAAUUUAAAAAUAAUUUAAUUUUUUAAAAAUAUUAUACCAAUAAACUAUAAAUAAUUUUCUUUCUCAUAUUAAUUAAAUGCUGGAUCAGCUUCUGAACUAUUUUACAUAAUUUUAUUUGUUGAAUUUACCAAAAUUUUAUUUUAUAUAAAAUUUAUUAAUUUAUGAUUGUUUUGUCAAAACGAGCAUGUGGAAAUUACAUAAUUUUUGUGACAGUAACUCUUGCCUACUUGAACGGCAACAUUAACAUAUAUUUUUUAUGAUUCAUCUCUUGUUUUUGGGUAAAAUAUUCUUAUAUUUUUUAAAUUUAAUCAAAAUUUCAAGUAAGUCUAUUAAUUUUUGAAAUAAACACUUCGUCCCAAAAGUGUAAACACGGUUAACAGAGAUUAUGAAAGGAUUAAAAUGUUUUGUUUUAUUAAUUUAAAAAAUUAUUAUUAUAUUUUUUGAAAAAAUUAAUUAAUAAAAAAUAGAUAAUAAUAAUUUUUAAAAUCAAUAAAGGAUAAAAUUAUUAUUUUAAUAUUAUCACGUUAUUAAACUAACAGAAAUACUAACAGUUAAUUAAUGGUUAGAUUUAUGUAUCUAGUGGAAGAUUUUUUUUUGAAAUGGAAUAUCUAUUUUGAAAAUGAAUGAAUUUACUUAAAAUUUCGAUUAAAAUUUAGAGAUGUGAGAGUAUUUUACCUUGAGGAGCUCUUAGGCCAUAGGGUAGUAAACCUGUCUUUUUCAUUAAUUUGAUUGAUGUGGUUUUAGCCAUUCUUUAGUCUCUUUAUUUGAUUCUAGAAAAAAAAAAUCAACAAAGUUUUGUAGUAAUUAGAGCUUUUGAAUUUCAUUUAAAGAACUUAUACAAUUUGAUGUUACAUCUUACUUGCCUUGGCUAGCUUGGCUUAUGGCUCAUAUACCUUGUAUUAGUUGAUUUACACUAAUUUUAAAUUAAAUAGUUAGUAUUUACUUCACUCCAAAAUUUAUAAUUAUAAUGAUACGUGUCAAGAUUUCACGAUAACUUUUAUAUAAAUUAAUUAAAUUUAAAAAGCAAUUUGUAGUUCAAUAAAUGGAGGGAAAAUAAUUUUAAAAAUGAUAGUUCAAUAAACAACAAAAUAUUCUCAAGUGGCAAAAAUUAUUGGGGUACUUUGUGUCUGACUCACUGCGGAUAUGAUCCAUAGAGCCUCUUGAAAUAAUGAACUUCAUAUGUUUUUUUUUUUUAUUAACAAAUUUGUAUGCUGAUAAAUAAUAAUUGAGGGUGGUGGAACAUAUUAUUAUUAAUUUAAAGCUCAUGCUUAUAGUGGUUAGACCAUAACUAUCAAUUUAAUUAAUUUAUAAAUUUCUUUCAUUUCAUCAUAAUUACUUAUAUAUAUAUAAGGUGUGCCUUAUAAGAAGUUACAUUUUGUUUGUAAAAUAAAACAUACCAUGUAACAAAUACUUGCCCCUGAAAACUUAAUAUAAAAGAGAAAAAAAUUGACGAUUUACGUUGUUAAUUUAGAUUUAUAUCAUCACAUUUGAAUCGAGAGUUACAUGAUAUUAAUCUAUCUCACAUAUAAUACAUGAUGUUUUGAUAUUGUUAUCAUUUAUUAUUGAUCUCGUUUUGCUAUCAUAGUACUCAUAAUUGUUAAAUUAUAACUCCAUUUUAACGACAAUUUAACCAUAAUGAUAAGUAUUAAUUUAGUUCGAGCCCUUACAUAAUAUAUAAUCAUGAUCAAAUAAUUAUAUGAAAUAUAAUUAAAAGUAUUGUAAUUGAUGUCCUCUUUUAAAAUGGACUGAUAUAUGAACCAAAGCUUUCUGUUUUUUCGUUUCUGUAUGGUGAAAGGGAUUAGGCCCUUUUAUGAUGAAUAAAGUUGACACUUGCUAUUCAAAAAAAAAAAAAUUGAUGUCCUCUUCAUUUUUAACUCUAAAACCUUUGAUAUUUGAUAUGGUUGUGGGUUUGAUUUGACUAGACUGUUUCACAUGUUGGCAUGACCAAGCCAUUGAAACUAGUAGCUGGGCUGUCUUUGUGGAUAGAUUGCACCAAAUCUUGUCAUGUAGCCUUUGAGAGGGAUAAAGGUUGGAGGGUUGAGCUGGAAGUUUGUUUUGAGAUAGAAAAAAGACAGCUUAGUUAGCUUUUGCAGAGCCCAUUUCUAGGCAAAAUAUUUAGUGAAAUCCCUGCCAAAAGGUGGGGUUUAGUAGGGGAUGAUCUGGAUGUUUGAGCUUCAUAGCUUUUUCACAUGUUCUUUUUAGGUGAUAACUUCAUUUCUGUUGUUGCGCUUUUUUUUCCUUGAUUUCACAAGCUUUUUCCAAAUUAUUUUUGGUCUUUACCCAUUUUUUUGGACACGUAUAUGGACAAGGUGUCCCCAUAACAACAAAAUUUUGAAUAUAUAAAUAUAAAUUUUUUAUUAUUUAUUAGAUAUAUCUUAUGAAUUAAAAAUAUAAAUUCGUGAUUUAUAAAUUUAUUUAAAUUUUAUUUUUAAAAUUAAAAAUCACAAAAGAUUGAACCUAAGUUUUGCAUCGUGACACAAAAUUCUUAAAAAAAAACGAAGACGAAGAAUUCAAAUAUUAAACUGUCAAAGCCGUAUAUAUUAUUAUUUAAUUACAAAAUAUUAUUUUAUAAAUAUAUAAAAAUGAAACGAAACAUGAAUUCAUUGGUAACAUAAUGAAAUAUAAACUUAAUUAUUAUGAAUUUUAAUAUUUUUUUUUGCUUCAUGUGAUAAUAUCACAGAAUUCGAAAUUCAAUAGAACAAAAUGAAAAGAAUGGGUGGUUAAGAUGUUACUAAAUACAAAUUCUUCAAUAUGGAAUGGAUAAAGAGGAGCAGUAAAAAAGAGUGCUAAUUUACAUGGAGUCCAUUAAUUAAGAGUUUACAGCAAAUAUACCUGAAUUUUACAAGGUGGUUUUGCACUAAUGGCCGACCAAAUUUUGUGGCUUUGGAGAAAAACAAAUAAAUAAAAGAUAGAAAAACUGGUGAAGCCUCCUGAUUCUUGCGGAUAUAUAACAAAGUGGUCAAUGUUUUUUCUAAUCUUUUCUAAAUAUAAACUAUUAUGAGAUUAUGCAUUUAUAAUAUACUUAGGAUAUAUUAAUUUGAGGUUUUUUUAGUGGAAUUUUUUUUUUGAAAAUUUUGGUCAUGACAUAUGUAUUUAUAUUUUUCAAUAAGAUUUUAAAAUUAUGUUCUUUUUUAAUACUUUAUUCUUUUACUUUUUUAUAUUCUAAAUUAUUUUUAUUUUUUAAUAUUAAAAAAUAUGAUAAAAUAAAAAAUAAAAUGUAAUAUUCUUAAUGUUUAUAUAUAUAUAUAUAUAUAUACACACACACAUUUAUAUUAUUCACACAUACGUUUCUCUAUAAAAAAGAAAUAAUUGGAAAGUAUAUACCUUUAUAUCCAUUAUUUUAAUUUCUAAGAAAAUACCAUUUAAUUAAAAAUAAAUUUAAUUAAGAAAUCUAAAAGACUUUACUUAAAAGAAAAAAACUCUUUUUUCCUUUUUCUCAAUAAAGAAAAAACUUAAUUUUAAUGAUGAGAAAUAAAUUACAAUUAUUAACCAAAUGAACUGUAAAUAAAAGAAGGAAGAAAAAUGAAACAGAGGAAACAGAGAAGCAACAGUAGAAGUAGAAGAUAAAGAAUGGAAGGUGGUUCGAAAGGAACACUCAAAGCUGUGGCUCUCAUCGUUGGAGACAACAACGUUAGAGGCUCUCUUCACUUCUCUCAAUUCCCAAACGGUUUUUUUUCUCUCUCUCUCUUGCUUCUGAGAAGUAAUUUUGAUGCUUUUCUUUUGGGGGGUUGGGUUGAUUAUGUUUUAUAUGUACUUGGCAUAUAAAUUUAUGUAAAUAUUUUUAUGAAUAUAGGGAUAACCCAUGUGAAAGGAAAGAUAACAGGGCUGUCUCCAGGCCUUCAUGGCUUUCAUAUCCAUGCCCUUGGUGAUACCACCAAUGGCUGCAAUUCUACUGGUACCUCCCUCUAUUUUUAACUUUAUAAUCCAAAUCUCUUUAAAUUGUUUUUUUUUGGUAUGAACUUUAAAUUUUCACAUUUAUGCAAAUUUGUGUUAAAUUAAGGUUGAUGUCAUUUAGUACUAAAGUGGGUGUUUUUUCUUUCGUAUGAAGUUUGAAUUUUGAUCACUCAUGCAAAUUUGUGUUAAAAUUAGAUUGGUGUCAUUUAGUUGUAAAGUGGGAUUGUUUUUAACUCUUAACAUUUAUGCAAAUUUGUUUAAUUUAGGUUGAUGUCAUUUAGCUCUAAAGUGAUUUUUUGUCCCUCUCUUUCUGGUAUGUGUAUGAAAUUUUAACAUAUAUGCAAAUUUGGGUUAAAUUUAGGUUGAUUCAUUUAUGCUUAAGUAGUUUUUUUUUUUUGGUUGGGGGGGGGGGGGGGUGUGGGUGGGGAAGGUAUAUGAACAAUGUUAGUUUUUGUUGCUUAUAAUUCUUUGUUUUAUUUUAGGGCCUCAUUUUAAUCCAUUCAAGAAGGAUCAUGGAGCACCAAGUGAUGGAGAGCGUCAUGCCGGUGAUUUGGGUAACAUUAUAGCAGGCCUUGAUGGUAUGUGCAAUUUCUGUCAUUUAUAUGACUAUACAUUGGAUAAAUUGUUAUUUGUGAAUGACUUUUGGUUUUUAAGAUUACAAUUUAAUGUCUUCAUUGCAGGGGUUGCUGAGGUUUCGAUUAAAGAUUGGCAGGUAGGCGAGGCUAAUAAUGGCUAUGUACUUGUAGUUUGUCAUUUUUAAGAAUUAAAUGUUUGAUUUUUCUUAGUUUAUUUUGUGGCAUGUAACAAUGAAAUGAUUUUGUUUCCUUGGACUGGUAGCUAAUUAUCAUGUUCUUUUAAAAUCCAUUAGGCUUUUGCUAUUUUGGCUUGUUGGAGUAAUGGAUUAUGCUUGUUUCUCUUUGUUUCAAUUUGUAGAUUCCACUUAGUGGGCCACAUUCCAUAUUAGGGAGGGCAGUUGUUGUGCAUGCUGAUCCUGAUGAUCUUGGUAGAGGUGAAUUAAUUGCUUUUUACAAAUUACAAGUGUUUGCAUGCAACUGCAUGGUUUAUUGCUAAAAAAAGGGAUAUACAGUCUCUUUGAACUUGUAGACACUAUGUAGACCACUAGACCUUGAGGAAUCAAGGUAUGGUGGAGAAAUACAACUUGGCAAUUCUCUGCUGCAGGGUGAAUCUAAGCCAGGAUUUGAUAUCAAAUUUGUAUGGCAUUUCAGAGUAAUUUUAUUGUUAUAACUAGUUAUUAGAGACUCUAAAUUGAAAAAGGAAAGUUGAAUGAUAUGUUAUGCGAAUAAACAAGAUAACGUUUUGCUUUUGGUUAACGGUGUACUGUGCAUCAAGAGCUAACCUCUGAUAUUGUCUUUAUCUUUGACUAGAAUAUGGACCUUUUCUCAAACCUUUUCCAGCAUAUGUCUAAAUUUAAUUAAUAAUUGUCGACUUCUUUGUCAAUAGAGUGGACUUAGAAUAAAUGAAGGCAAGAAGUGGAUUAGCUUUGAUAUGAUGAUCCUCGUAUACAUUUCACAGUAUAUGGUCUGACACUGGGAUAUGAUAUGUACUCAAACCACGUGCUUCACUUUCUUAAAUGGUCCAUGAUAUUAGGUACUAAAACAGUCAAGUAUAGGACCUUUUUAUGGAAAGCAGUUAAAUGACAUUGUAUACUUAUCAAAUAGGUUUUGUGGUUGAUAUCCCUCCGAGUUCUAGAGAGAUUUCAAGAGCUAAAAAGUUCACUGAGCACUUUCGGAUGGGAAAAGUUACUAUCCCAUUGAACAUUGUAGCAGUCUAUCCAAAUCAAUUGUGGUUUAUGAAUAGAAGAGUUAUUAAUAUCUUUGGACACUAUAAGGAUCUGCCUUUCAGUCUAGAUGUUUAUAAUAAUGUGGAUAGAACCGUGUGUAUGUGGGGGACACCACCCUGGUGCAUUUCUGCUUGUGUUUUGAUGGUAUGGCAUUAUGGUUCUGCUUCCUCGGGGGAUAAUCCCCUAUAUGUUGUUUUUGUUUUCCAUUGCCAGAGGGAGUUUAGACCUUGUCAUGCCGUCAACUGGAAGCAGUAAAGAGUGCAUGGAGAUGUGAGAGGGGAAAACAACCCACGAGGUUAUGUUUGCUUCUCUCACUUGUUCUGCAUUUUGAGAGGUGCUAUGCUAGACAUCUGGGCUGGCUCUUUUAGAUGUGUUAUGUUUAUUUUCCUGUGUUAAUAUGGCCUCCCUGAAGUGGGGGUUUUUGUUGCAUGGGAUGUAUAGUUCACAGGGUACUGACCUUGGCUGUGUUUUUGUAGGCCAGUCAAUUGACAAUAUUCUGACUGAUAUAUCUCAGUUGAAUAUGGUCUCGUUUGUUUGUAAAAGAGUUCUCUUUUAUGCAAUGAAUCAAAGUUAACUUUCAAAAAAAUAAAAGGAUGUUUGUAAUAAUGACUUGAUGGCACGUGACUUCUUUGCAGUCAUUUGGUUGAAGUUGCUUGGCCUUGUCAUGUCUGAUAUUCUUUUUCUAUUAACAUGCACCCUCCUCCCCCUUACUAACCAAUUAACCAAAUCAUAAGAAAAAAAAUAAAAGAAUUGGGGACUUAACUACUGAUGAAGUCUUGAAAUGUAUCAGGAUGCUGCUUCUAUUUCCUUCUAAUAGGCUACAUUAUCAGUUCCCACUGUUCCCACUCUUUCUUGUCUGACAUAAAUCAUUAUAUAUCUCUUGGUGUGAUGAUUUUGUGAUUUUGUCAAUCGACCAUAUUCUGCUCAUGACUUAUGUUCUUUUGCUCAUAAAAAUCACAUUUCGUUUUACGAUUUGCUUUUAGCUAAUAACAAUAACCAAUAUGCAGGUGGGCAUGAACUUAGCAAGACAACUGGGAAUGCGGGUGCAAGAGUUGGAUGUGGUAAAUAUUUAUUUGUCAAUAGUUUAGUGUUGCCAUGAUAUGUUUAUCUUGAGAUGCUGAAAUUAAGUUAGAUGGGUAGAUUUGGAAUGUAGCAAGAAUGCUGUGGUAUAUAAUAGAUUCACAAGCUUGUCAUCAUUGCUUCUUCUUCCUUUGUCUAUAUAGAUGCUGCAUGCAUGCAGAAUGGACUGACAUUUGAUUGACUUUGACCAGGUAUCAUUGGCCUUCAAUCAUCUGUUUAGGAGUAGUUUGGUUGCUGUUAAAGGAUGUUUGACGUAAGACUGCAAAUUGUAAUCUUGUGCUUGAAUUUAUGUAUCUUGCAUUAAUCAACUUGUAAACAAAUUUUGGGAUGGAGAACGGAAUCCUAUCUGUAAUGUAUGUGAUCAAUAUGAAAGGUACUUAGAUUAAGGAACUCCUUUUUUUAGGUACAACUAGAUCCAUAGACCACUGUUGAAGUCUUUAUGAUUGCUUACUUUCUAUUUGCACAGUGGAGAAAUCUUAUUUUCUAACCGUUUAUUUUUUGGUUAUUUCCUGUUACGUAGCCUUUAUUUUGGUAAUGCUAAGAUCAGAAUCCAAAUAGAAGUUGAAGGUCUUCAUUCGUUCUGAAUUCUGAUAAAAGUUCAAGACCACUAUAGGCUUUCAGAGAGUAAUUUUGAUCUUAUUCCUUAAAUUUUACUUGACUAUUUGUCCUUAUAAGAAUACAUGUUGCAUAGCAUGAAUUUAGUACAUGGCUAUUGUGCAAGCGAAGACAGCAAAAGUUAGGGACUGGUAUGUUAUAGAGGGAGGCAUUUUACCGUUGUCGUUCCGAAAGAAUAGUCCUUGGUAUAUAGGCAGGUUUAAGAAAACCAAAAUGAAGCAGAGAAGUAUCUGUAAGCCAAACAGGUCGAAAACCUUCAUAUGAACUUCAUCCAAGGCAACCUUCUUUAUUACCCCAACGAAGCUGAACAGAUUGAAUAGGGCAAGUGUUGCUAAAAUUGUGAACAUUGGUGAAGUAGUCCCAAACUCCAUGAUCUCUUGCUCAUAUCUCUGAUAUACAUGGUCAUCAGCUACCUUUCCUGUGAUGACAAAGGCUGUCUUUGAGAAUCCACAUAGCUUCAGGAUAUUGUCUAUGAAGGCGAAGAGGUAGGAAGUUGUUCUUCUGAACAUCCACAUCCUUUGUUCAUUCAGCCAACCUCGGACUGUUCCUCCACACCAUACAAACUCCACAAGGCCGUAUGCACAGUUGACAGUGAUGACAUACAAAAAUGGCAGGGCCCAAGAGCUUGAAAUCUAUUGAUUCAGAAAAAAUUUACAGUUGUUAGUAGGUCACUCGGCAUAAAAGCAUCUUUUGCAAUUUCACAGAAUGAUCAAGAUGAUGUUUCAGGUGAAAAAAUAUCAUACCUUUGGAAACAAAGGGAUGCCUUUAAGCAGGCAAAAAGAUGGUACCGUAACGUAGUACAGCGAAGCUAAGCAGUUCACAGCCCAUAGCAAGUAAUUACAGUAUGAAAGCUGAAGCAUUAGAGGCAUCCUUUCACGUCCAUACACAAAGGGACAAUGUUUUGAGAGAAAGAUUUGAAGGUCGCCGUCAGCCCAUCUCUUGUGUUGUACUAGGGAUUGUAACAGUGUUGUUGGAACAACUCCUAAGAAGGCCUUCCUUUCAGGAAUGAAGUAAACGGAUCGCCAGCCUCUACUUUGUAUGGAUAUUGCUGUGAGUACAUCCUCCACUGGACAGCCGUAUUUUAAUCCUAUCUGCAAUCAGCCUAAGGUUACUUAGAUAUAUGUUUUUGCUUCAAGAGAGAGAGAGAGAGGGAAAUUUAGAAAGAACCUCCUUUCCCCAUUGUGUAUUUUCCUCAUAGGUGCAACUUGCAAGAGCUUUGCAAUUUUCUUCCAGGACACUUGCACUUUCUUUAAUCCCUCUGUCAUUUUUCGUUGCCCUCCAUUCAACCUUAAAUUCCUUGCUAUACUUCAUUCCGCAAAGAGCUUCUCUUCUGUGAACACAUCCAGUUCCAAUAUAGCAAGGCCCUCCAUUCCCAUCAAAUCCUGCAAGCUCCACCUUGGUAGAUCAAAAACAUCAAUCCUCCCACUCUUAGCUAUGUUUGAGUUCCAAACAUUAACUUAGAAGCUUUAUCAUGUUAUUUAUAUUUAAAUGCUCACCUCCAUUACUACUCUCAAAGAGCUGCCAUAAAUAUCAUUUUUAGUCAGGUUACCAAAGCUCUGUGGAUAUUGUACAUAGCCAAUCUCAUGUCCCUUCUCCUCAUCCAGAAAAAAGCAAAGAACAUCUUUAAUCGUCUCUGAAUUAUUUGAAUACAUGUCGCAAUCCACAGUGAGGAUAAAUGGCGCAUUGCUUAUGCUUGAUGACACCCUUAUCUAUUCAUCCAUGUCCAAGAAUGAUACAAAGAAAGUAAAUUAAAGAAUUCUAUAUAUUGGCUUGAACAAAGUACCACACAAUGCAGCAAUGCUUACCAGCGCAUUCAAGGCUCCAGCUUUGAAAUUAUGGUGGUGUUGAGGUCUUUUUUCGCGCGCCAAAUACACCAGGGUUGGCAAAGGUUCUCCUUCAACAUCCAUGGCGUUAGGGUCUCUUCCAUCGAUUAAGAUCUAUAUGUUAAAUCAAUGCAAAAUUAGAACUAACUAAAGUAUGUGGAAAUACGUGUAACAAUAUUGGUUUACUUGGAGAAUGGCUUGGUGAUCAUGUCGACUUGAAACAAGAUCCCAGUCACGGAAUCCCUUAUGUAACUUGCUUAUGCCAACUGGAAUUCUGCCCUGCUCUGUGAUGGUUUCAAUCCUCAUCUUCAUGUCUUCAUAUGAUUUCUAUAUAAUUCAUAGAAACAAAAUUUUAAGUUAUGCAGUAUAUAUCCAGCUUAUUAAAAUCAAGAAAGUAAAAGAUCUUAUUUAUUUAUUUUUAUUUUUAAAAUUUUAUUACUGUAAUUAAAGCCCAAAUUUCUUGUAAGGACAAGUUGUAUUGACGACGCCCAGAUCGAAAUUAGAAAUUGGUGUAACCAAUGUAAGGCCAAUCCUUCUUACUUCCAAUGUUCUUAGAAGGCAAAUGCCAUAAAACUUUAUUUGGUGGUCUAGGGAGAUCGUGGCCGGCUUCCUUGACCUUCAUAUGAUCAUUUCAGUUUUUCUUUGCGUGCUGGCCUUGGAAAAGAACCCGACAUUCACUUUGAUUGAGACAUAACUAAUCAAAACUGGUCUCUUCACUUGUCAACAUAGCACAAAAACCAAGUGACCAAUGAUGUCAUAAAUGGCAUCAUGAGCUCUCACCAUCAGAUCGUCCCCAUGAUCGAUUCCCUUGUAAUUGUCCCAUCGAUUAAAGCACUCAUGAAUGGUGGGAAUUGGGAAAGAAAAUUGAAGACGUAAUUGAACAUUCAACCUGACAACUUGAUUUUGUUUUUGAUUCCUUGCGGACCAGAAAUUAAAUGGUAAAAAUCAGAGAUACUAUUUUCAUUGUUGAAAUCGCUAUCAUAGUAUUGUUGCUUGAAGUGGUCUGAAUUUCUACAUGUUGUGAACCAGCCAGCUUCCUCUUGUUUUCUAAUUUCAUAGUAAUGUUCUUUUUAUGGAUUUGAUUAAGAUCAGCAAUAAAUGCGACUCCACUCAUAUUGAUUUUUGGUUGAGACUUGAAUUUAUUAGUAGAUAUUCUUCUUCGUGCCUGCCACGUUGUCAUAUGGUUCUGAAAUUAAAAGGAGCUAAUGAUUACGUACCUUGACGAACAACCACUCUUUGGCCAUGACAGAAUCAUCAGCUGGUUCCGCAGCGUAACUGAAAUAAGCCUCAGGCGAUCUUGGCUCUACUUUGAGAUUUCUGCAGAACGGUAGCCAUAUCUGGGAGAAACGUGCAGCCUCUAACAAAGCAUAGAAUGUUAAAUCUGAGCCGCCAUCGUCAGACAGAUAAACACUUAGCUUCUCACUAGGGUAGUCAUAAGCCAUAACUGAUAAGACUGUGUUGAUCACCAUCAUCGGUGGCUCUAUUCGAGGAUCCGCUGUGCAAACAAAAAUGUCUACUCCUGGCAAAGCUUCUUCGUUGUACCUGUUGUAAGAAAUUCCUCGCGUUAAUUUCCUCAAUAUGGUUAAUCCACACUACCAAGUAUAAAAAAGAAAUCAUAGAAAGAGGGAAAUUAAGAGACGGAGACCUGGAAGAGAGCCUGUCUUUGAAUGUGUAACGGAAGACAGGAUUCCAUCUAACGACUGCAGUGAUAAAAAAGUAGAAACUAAACCAAAGUUCAGCAAGAAACACUCCAAUCCAAGCCCAUCUCUUAGUUUUUCCUUCCACUGGACAAUAGCUCACUCUAUAAAAACAAAUGAAACAGAUGCCUAUAAAGAUUGAAGCUGCGUACGAUCGAAACAGGACUAGUCCCCUGGCUGGCCUUGUUGCGAAAAGAGGAAGAUACCCAUUACUUCCCAUUUCUCCUUUCCCUCCUUCCACUAGUUUGCUUAAAAUGAGUGAGACAUGAUCUUGAUGUGCAUAUAUAUAGGGAAUCAACUGGGUAGGAGAAUUGUUGAACUAAGACUUGCAGUGAAGACCUCCUCAAUACAUGUUAUGAACCAAAGGCUCAUGCUUCACUGUUUUUGUAUUAUGGCAGCGACUUACUGACAAGUUUAUGACAGCCAUGCACUUAAAUGAAUGACUAAUAAUGUUAUGUUUAGCAUGUAAGUAAGUCUCUAACUACUGUACAAAACUUGAUUAUUAAGUUCUGUGAUGUACAUCGUCUAGAGAAUGCAUAUUAGAAAGGAGCCUAUUGUUUAGAACAAAUAUCUUCUACAGUCAGUCUUCAUCCUUGACAACUUGUUUCUCUGAUAGGUUAAGUUGAACUCUAUCUUGAGUCUAAACAACAAAAAUUUAUAAAUUACAAGCUUUAUCGAUGUCUUAAAACAUGGUCCUAAUUUGUUAAUACCUUCUUAGUUGCCUACAAUUUCAUGUUAUUAAUAAAUAUUUCAUUUUUUACUUUUGAAAUGUUAAAAUAUUAAUAUAAAAUAAUAAUUUAAUAUUCUAUAAGAAAAUAAUAAGUAAAGACACUAAUCAAACCAUUAGCUUCAUAUCUAUUUUCCUACAUAUCCCCCAAUGGAUAAUCAUAUUUUAUUAUUCCCAGGUUGGGGAUGGCAAGUUUUUGCUUUAAACGUUGAGCAUGGGUGUAGUAGUAGUAAACCCUGUUAAUUCUUGCUCAUAUAAUCUUCGUGAAGUCGUUGUCACCUGCACCUUUGUCGUGGUGGCAAAGGCUUCUUCUGGAUGUCCUAUCUACCUUCGUCAAAGUCUAUACAUUUAAGUAUCUCAAAUGCUUAAAUACUACAAAAUGAAUGUCUCUCCAUUCUUUGAAGAACUUAGUGCAAAGGCUACUUAUGCAAACAGGAAGACUUAAGGGCUUGAUUCAUGACUAUCCAAGUCGUUUCACAAGUAUUUCAAUUAACUUCAUUUGCUUGUUACUUCUAGUAUUACUCACUUUUACAUUUAUUUAAUUACUUCUUGAAAUUGCAAAAUGAAUUUGUUAUAUGAGCAGAGCUAAAUUUUAAACCAUGAAAAUUUAAAACGAGAUAUUUUAUUUUUUAUAAAGCAAGAGAUAACCUUAAAGUAUUGAGAUGUAAGAUUUUCAGAAUUCUUGGAAUUAUUAAGGAGUUUUUAAUUUAUUCUCAAUUCUUCUUAAUCAAUCGUUGUCAUGAAUUAUUAUCAUCAACAUAUAAAAGUAUGCAUGAACUUCAAAAAUAUAAAUAUUAAAUAAGAUAUAUAUCUUAAUUAUAUUUUCAAAUUGAACAAUUUUGUGUUUAAAUAUUUUUUAUUAUUUAUUUAACUUGAGAACAUAAAUUUCACCAAAACAUAAUUAGAUUCCUUUCAAAUUAAAACAUCAAAAUAAAAGCACUUAUUAACAUAUAAUUUUUAGAAAUACAGUAGAAUGUUUAUAAAUUAAUACUUGAUAAAUUAAUAAUCUCGAUUAAAUAAUAUUUUUGACCGAUUCGGACUUUGGACCAAUUAAUUUGCUAAAUUUAUGAGAUAAUGCAAUUAAAAAAAAUACAUAAAUUUCACUUGAUAUAUAAAUUAAUAAUCUCUUUAUACAUCAAAAUUAUAUAUAUACAUAAUUCAAUUAUGAGGCAUUUGUAAAAUAUAACUUCAAUAUUUCUUAUUUACUUUUGAAAUUGAUGUUUGCUUGAAUGUUAUCUCUAACUUUUCUUAGUGUAUUAAGCAGCUCUAAUGAAAUGUUUUUGUAUUGCAAGAGAAAAUAUGCGCAAUAAAUGUAUAUUAAGUUUAAUGUUUUGAAAAAAAAUAAAAAAUACCUUGAUAAAUUACUUUUUCAUUAAUUGAUGUAUAAAUUAAUAAAUCAUUAAUUUAUCAAUUAAAUAACAUCUCAAUUAAUUAAUAAAUUUUUAUGAUCCCAAGGGUAUUAAUUUAUAAAAUUUAACUAUGUUAAUAUUAAUAAUCCCAUCAAAAGCUAGAUAUUCCUCACUAAAUUGUUACUAAUAUUUAUUUUAUGUGAAGAAAGAAUUUCAAAAAUCCUAUUAUAUAUGCUAGAGCAAGCAAGAGGCACAUGAUUCAUACAUGUAUAUAUAUAAAAGAGUGAAAUGCGCUACUGUAAUAGCACCUGAAAAGAGUGAGGGGCAAAGGGUAAUAAAGACGAAGAGACAACUUUUGUGCCCUUUCAAACAAGAGCAUAAGCUAGAAAAAAUCUAUGCUUUUUCACGUGGAAGAAGCUGCAGAAGAGGAGAUCAAUCAACAGAAGAGCAGCAGAGCGAGGUAACAAAAUCCAGCCAUGGAAGAAGGGCAACAGAGGAAUGAAGAAUAACCAAUCAUGGAGCAUUCAACAGGAGCGGCAGAGCAAUGAAGAAAAUCUGGCCACGAAGGAAUCAAUGGAAGAGCAGCGGGGUGUUAAAGAAAAUUAGCCCUACCCCUGCUUGCCUAGGCGACGCAUAAUUUCAUGGGGGAAAGUAUUGCAUAUUGUCAUGUUAACAUUACUCUAGUAGGUUUAGCAGGAAAUUCUUCGGAGAGAAGAAUUAGUGCUAGGAACACAUUAAAAAGAAUUUUUGAUCCUGCCUAAUUGCUUCUAGAUUAGCUUGCUGUCGCUAAAAGAGUCCAAGAAAAUAAAUUGAUUGCAUGUUAAAUAAUUUUUAUACUAUGGUAACAAGUUGAUUACAGUCACAAUUUGACCUUUUUGGGAUUUUUUUAAUGAAGUUUUACUUUACAUUGAUCCCUAUAACAAGACAGCUUGUUUAGUACAUGGCUACUGUGCAAGCUAGGAGAGCAUAAAUAAUUGACUGGUGUGUUACAGAGGCUGGCAUUGUGCCACUGUCCUUCCGGAAGAAGAGCCCUUGAUAUACAGGCAGGUUCAAGUAGACCAAAAGGCUGCAGAGAAGCAUUUGUAAACCAAAUUGGUCCAAACUCUUUAUGUGAUCAUAAUGGGUGACAACCUUCUUUAUUCCCCCAGCGCAGCUGAACAGAUUGAGCGGUGCAAGUGUUGCUAAGAUUUUGAACAUUAAUGAAGGAGUGCCAAACUCCAUGACCUCUUGCUCAUAUCUCUGAGAUGUCUGCUCAUCAGCCACCUUUUCAGUGAUGACAAAGGCUGAUUCUGAAAAUCCAAACAGCUUCAGGAUAGUGUCAAAGAAGGCGAAAAAGUAGGAAGUUGUUCUUUCGAACAUCCACAUCCUUUGAUCAUUCAACCAUUCUUGAAUUGUGCCUCCACACCAUAUAACUUCUCCGAGGCUGUAUGCACAGUUGGCAAAGAGGACAUAUGUAAAUGAUAGGACCCAAGGGCUUGACAUCUGGCGGUUCAAAAUGAUUUACUUGUUAGCAGCUCAGUUGUUAUAAUGGCAUUUAACUAAGAUCCUUUAUUAUGAAAUAAACGAUCAUUGCAUGCAAAAAAAUUAAACCAAAAAUAAAUCAGAUCCUUUAUUAUGAAAUAAACGAUCAUUGCAUGCAAAAAAAUUAAACCAAAAAUAAAUCAGAAAAUUGUUUUAGAGAAGAAUAUUACCUUUGGAAACAGAGGGAUGCCUUUAGGCAGGCAAAGGGAUGGCACUGUAACAUAGUAUAGUGUAGCAAAGCAGUUUACAGCCCACAGCAAGUAAGGACAGUAUGAAAGCUGGAGUUUUAAAGGGAUCCUUCCAUGUCCAUAGAUGAGGGGACAAUAUUUUGAGAGAAAAAUCUGCAAGUCACCUUCAGCCCACCUCUUAUGUUGUACUAGGUAUUGCAACAGUGUCGUUGGAACAACUCCUAGGAAUGCCUUCCUUUCAGGAUUGUAGUAAAUGGAUCGCCAACCUCUACAUUGUAUGGAUAAACCUGUGAUUAUAUCCUCUAAUGGACAGCCAUAUUUCAACCCCAUCUGCAAUUACGCAAUGAUAUGAAAUUGUAUUUUUUCUUUUUCAGGGAAAGAAUCAUAUUAUACAGAGAGAUGGAGAGAAAGACCUCGUUUCCCCAAUCUGUAUUCUGUUCAUAUGUGCAACUUGCAAGAACUUUGCAUGUAUCUUCCAACACUCUUGCGCUUUCUUGAACCUUUUUAUUCACGUUCCUCCACUCUACAUUGAAGUCUUUGCUAUACUUCUUUCCACAAAGACUCUCUCUUCUGUGAAAGCAUCCAGUACCAAUAUAGCUAGGCCCUCCAUUUGCAUCAAAUCCUGGAAGCUCAAGCUUGAUAGUUUGCCAGGUACGCAAUAUAUAAUCAGAAGUAGAUCAAAAUAUCCUCAUAUUGUUAUCGCAAAUUUACAAAUUUCUUGUUGUUAUUUACUGCUCACCUCCACUACAACUCUCAAGGAACUGCUGUAGAGGUCAUUCUUAGAAAGGUUAUAAAAGCUCUGUGGAUACUGAACAUAAGCGAUUUCAAGUCCCUUCUCUUCAUCCAUAAAAAAAGCACAUAGCAUUUUUUAUGGCCUCUGAAUUAUUUGAAUAAUUCACAUUAAGAAUAAUUGGCGCGUUGCUUAUCCUCGCUGAUACCCUUAUCUAACAAAAAUCCGUCAUGAAGGAUGAUAACUGAUAAUGACAGUUAACAACUUUUAAUCUAGUAGUAAUCUGCAGAGUAAAAUAUAGUUUACCAGUGCAUUCAUGGCUCCUGCUUUGUAAUUAUGGUGGUACUGGGGUCUCUUUUCUCGUGCCACAUAUACCAAAGUAGGCAAAGGUUUUCCUUCAAUGUCAAUAGCAUCAGCAUCUCUUCCAUCAAGUACGAUCUAAGCACCAGGAAAGAAAAAGAAAAAGCUGUGGAAAACUUGUAGGCUCUCUGUUUAUGGAAGUGCGGAUUCUAUGAAAAAGAAUAGAUAUAGCAAUUUACUUGAAGAAUGGUUUGAUGAUCAUGUUGACUUGAAACAAAGUCCCAUUCACGAAAUCCCUUGUGUUCCUUGCGCAUGUCAGCUGGAAUUCUCCCCAACUUUGUGAUGGUCUCAAUGCCUAUCUUCAAGUCUUCAUAUGAUUUCUAUAAUUGUAAAAGAAAAAUUUAAUACUAGGACUUAAGAUUUUGAAUCUGGACAUUGUGGAAGAAUUGGAUUGGUCUCAACUUUUUGAUGUAGACAAGCGAGUUUGCUUCUACGAUUGCAAUCAAAAGGCCAACGCCUCCUUUAUCAAUUAUCAAUGAGAUGACAUAUACUAAGGAGUUAUAUGAAAUGAUUUAUAUAUUUCAUAAUAUAUCAUUCUGUGAUUUUAUAGGCCGUAAAUGAAUUAUGUUAGUAAUUUAAAAGAAAUAAAAAAAAUAUCUCAAGAAAGCUGGUGAGUAGACCUGUUCAAGGGUCCAGAGCUCGGCCCAGCUUUGGUCAAGAAUUUUAGGCCUUGGUUCGAUCCAUCUCGACCCAUGAACCUGUGACCUUAGAGAACUUACCUUGAUGGACAACCACUCUUCCGCAAUGACAGAAUCAUCAGGUGGUUCAGCAGCGUUACUGAAAAAAGCCUCAGGCGAUCUUGGCUCUACUUUGAGCUUUCUGCAGAACGGUAGCCAUAUCUGGGAGAAACGUGCAGCUUCUAACAUCGCAUAGAAGGUUAAAUCUGAGCUACCAUCAUCAGAUAGAUAUACACUUAUCUUCUCAGUUGGGUAGUCGUAAGCCAUUACUGAUAAGACUGUGUUGAUCACCAUAAUUGGGGGCUCUAUUCCAGGAUCCGCCGUGCAAACAAAAAUGUCUACGCUAGGCAAAGCUUCCUGAUUGUACCUGUUGUAGAAAAAUUCUUUGCAUUAUUGAUUUAUAUUUAAAUUGGAUAAGAUAAAAUGAAAUUAGAGGAGGGAAUUAAAUUAAGAGAGACCUGGAAGAGAGCCUGUCUUUGAAAGUGUAACGAAAGACAGGGUUCCAUCUGCGGACAAGUGUGAGAGACCAGUAAAAGCUAAACCAAAGUUCAGCAAGAAACAGUCCAAUCCAAGCCCAUCUCUCAGUUUUUCCUUCCACACCUGGAAUGUAACUUGCUCUAUAAACCCAGAUGAAGCAGGUGCCUAUAAAGGUUGAAGCUGAAAACAAUUGAAACGGUAAGCGUCCCCUUGCUGGCACCGUUUCAAAGAGAGGAAGAUAACCUUUACUUCCCCUUUCUCCCUCGUUCAUGACAAAAUCAUCAAAAGCAAGCCCAAGCCGGAACUUAAAUCCUUAAAACCGUAACAACCCAAGCAAUACCCAAAAGUAUAAAUUCAUUAAACUGAACCAAAACAGCUAGGAGGGGGACAGAGAGAGAUAACUCUGUAAACUAGCAAAAAUUGCCCAACGAAUCAAAGCCAACGAACAAAAAGUUAGUCAAAGAAACCACCAGCCUCCGAUUUUUGCAAUUGAUUUACCAUACUAAAAGUUCGAUAGGUGACUAGGGCUAGAAGCUUUGGCCUGAAAUGAGCUCCCAGCAGCUCCUUUACAUAGCAGGACGUGUUUUCGCCAAAAGUUUAACUUAGCAUCCCCAAAUGACUAAACAAUUCCCCAAAUGUCACCCACUUCUAGUUCCCCCCGGUUUUUUAUUUACAAAGUGGUAACAACACAGUGACAGAGAUAAAAGAAACAGAGAAUGUAUGGGAGGUGGCUACAAGAAUCAAGUCAUUCAACAGUUUACUUCCAAAAGUGGUAAGGUUGAAAUGAAGAUUGAUGACGGUAUUCAUCGAAGAAGAUUAUGUUGACUGGUGAUUAGAUGAAAUUUAUAAAUUUCAUUUGACUAAUUAAAAAUCGUGAAACAAUCUAUUAUUUCAGUUCAGCAUACACUUCAUGCACAAAAUUCUGGAAAGAAAAGAGGAAUUAAGAAGUGCCCUUUUAUCUUUUUUUUCAUUCUCGUAGUGAUUUAAUACAUGGAUAGUGCACAGGCCAGCGAGGCAAAAACAAUGGACUUGUAAGUAACCGAACUGGGCAUUCUACCACUGUCCUUUCGGAAAAAGAGUGCUUGGUAUACAGGGAAGUUGAUAGUAACCAAAAGCAAACAGAGGAGAAUCUGCAACCCAAAUAGGUCCAAAACCUUGGAGUGAUCAGCUUCCAAGAUGACCUUCUUGAUUGCCCCCAAGCUGCUGAACAGAUUGAGCAUUGCAAGUGUUGCUAAAAUAUCAAACAUUGGUGAAGUAGCACCAAACUCUAUCAGCUCUUGCUCAUAUCUUUUCGAGACAUCGUCGUCAGCUACCUUGGCCGUGAUGACAAAUGCUGCCUUUGAAUACCCUAAUAGCUUCAAGAUGGUGUCGACGAAGGCAAAGAAGUAGGAGGUUGUUCUUUUGAACAUCCACAUCCUUUGAUCGUUAUACCAACCUUGGAAUGUGCCUCCGCACCAUAGGAAUUCUCCAAGGCUAUGGACGCGGUGUGCAAAGGCAACAUAUGCAAAUGGGAGCACCCAGAGGCUUGAUGUCUGAUUGUCAAAAAUGAUUUAGUUAUUCAUGUGCAAAUUUACAAACUCCAUGGAAGUGUUAUGUUUAAAGCGCGUUUGACAUUGCAAUUGACAGCAUUGAGUCGCAAAUGCAUUGCCAAAUCAAGAUUUGACAAAUUUAAUUGAAAAAGUUGAGUGCUGGAAAUUUAGAAAGCAUAUUAAGAAUGAUGAUAAUGCUAAAGGAAUCAUUUUCGUUUGAAAGAUUUGAUUGUGACAUUGAUUCCAAAUUCAGCUUGCUGUUUCUAAAAUAAUACAAAAAAGAGCAAGUUUGUCAGUGAGGAGAUUCAUACCUUAGGAAACAAGGAGAUGUCUUUAAGCAGGCAAAGGCAUGGCACAGCAACAUAGUACAACGUUGCCAAGCAGUUUGCGGCCCACAAAUUGUAAGGACAAUAUGCAAGUCGAAGUUUUAGAGGAAUCUUUUUAUGUCCAUACAACAGGGAGCAGUACCUUGACAGGAAUAUUUGUAAGUGACCUUCCGACCAUCUCUUAUGUUGUAUUAACAUCUGCAAUAAUGCUGUUGGAGCAACUCCUAAGAAAGCUUCUCUUUGAGGAUUUAAGUAGAUUGAUUUCCAACCUCUGCAUUGUAUACUCAAUCCUGUAAUUAUAUCCUCCACAGGGCAGCCAUAUUUCAAACCCAUCUGCAACCAAAAACUUAUUAUUAUUAUAUAUAUGAAAGUUAUCUAUAUAAUGUGUUUGUAUGCGUGCACAUGCUUAUCACUGUAUAUGUUAAGGUAUGUUAGAGAGAGCGUCACGAACCUCUUUUCCCCAUUGUGUGUUCUGCUCAAAGGUACAGCUUGCAAGAACUUUACAUGUUUCUUCUAGGACGCUUACACUUUCUUCAACCAUGUUGUCAUUUAGUCUCUUCCAAUCAACUUUACAGCCAUUGUCAUAUUUCUUCCCGCUAAGAGCCUCUCUCCGGUGAAAGCAUCCGGAGCCAAUAUAGCAUGGCCCUCCAUUUGCAUCAAGUCCUGGAAACUCCAACUUGAUUGUUGAUACCCCAUCACAGGCAGAUCCAAGAAAAAAAAAAAAUAAAUAUAUAUAUAUAUAUAUAUCAUCAGAAUCGCUGAUCAAUCACUGGUUUUUAUUACAUUAAUUUGUGUAAAACAUUUCUAUUAUGCUUAAUUACCUUUUUUGCUACUCGGAAGGAACCACUGUACAAUUCAUUUUUGGUGAGAUUUUCAUAAUUCUGAGGAUAUUGUAUGUAGGCAAACUCAUCUCCCUUCUCUUCAUCCAUGAAAAAGCAUAAAGAAUCCUUGAUUGACACUGAAUUGUUCGAAUACAUAUCGCAAUCCACAUUGAGAAUGAUUGGACCAUUGCUUAUCCUUGAUGAUACCCUAAUCUAUUUAUUCACCGUAAAAAAGGUCAUUCGAUAACAUACAAAAAGGAAAACAAUUAGCUACAAUGGUACUUACAAGAGCAUUCAUGGCUCCAGCUUUAAAAUGGUGGUGAAAUUGGGGUCUUUUCUCUCGUGCUAAAUAUACAAGAGUUGGCAGAGGUCUUCCUUCAACGUCAACAGCAUUGGGGUCUCUCCCAUCAAUUAGGAUCUAAGAAAUUGAUUAAAACACCAAUAACUUAUAACUAAGCUCAAGUAUAUUACUAAGUUAUCAAAGCAUAAUUAAUUAGGAGUUUAUGAAAUUAAUUACUUGAAGAAUGGUUUGAUGAUCACGUUUGCUUGAAACAAAGUCCCAUUCACGAAAUCCUUUGUGUUGUUUACGAAUAUCUUCAGGAAUUCGGUUCAACUUGGUGGUGGUUUCAAUCCUCAAUUUCAUGUCCUGGUAUAGUUUCUGCAUAAUUAAGAAAAAAGAUCCUCACCUUUUACAUAUAAACACCGGAGCAAAUAAUAUAUACUUAACAAUAGUAAGAAAGUAAAAAUGUAGCUCUCUAGUACAAAACAACAAAUUAUUAUAUUUUUGUAAAUUUUUUAUUAUAUUAUUAAGUUUUUAUAUUUUUAUUUUGAAAUAAAUAAAUUUUUAUAACUAAUGAUCGAUUAACUGUUGUUGGUUAAAAUGUAAUUUGUUAUUCUAUGUUACAACAAUAACAUCACAUGCAAACAUAUUAUCAUAAAUGAUGAUGUGAUAUUUUAAUGUGAUCAUGCGAUAUUUUUAUAUUCCGUGCAUAUUAAUGUCAUGUGAGUAUAAAAUAAAAUUAAAAAGCUUAAUUAAAUAUAAUAAAAUAAUAAAAUUUUAUUUAAAAUUUUAAAAAUACACUCUUCAUGUAUAUAUUAGCAUCCGAGGAUCAAAAUAUAUAUCCAAAUAAAUAAAACUCAAACGUCACUGAUUACUUAAUUAAUUGCAAGUAGUAAUUUUUCAUCCCUACAUAUUUUUAUUCCUUUGACUUUUAUUGGAGAGUAGGACAAAAACUUUGUUUUAAAAGGACUUUAUAUUAAUAAUUUAAUUUUUUUUAUAAUAUAUGGAGUAUUGGUUUUCAAUUCUUUUUAAUGUGAAAAAAUUCUUUAUAAAACAUAAAAAAAAUUAUAACAUAAAAAUAUAAAAAUAUUAGAAAAUUUUAUUUUAGAACAUUCCAAAGAAAAAGAUAGACAAAGAAAAUAAGAUGGAAGCAAGUAAUAUAAAUUUUUGAUAAAAAAUUGGAACUGCACAAAAAAUUAAUUUAUUAACUAAUUACUCAAUUGAAAACUGAAAGUUGUUAAUUAAUAUAACAAAUUAUAAAAAUAGUACUUUGGUACAAAAAAUCGUAAUUAAUUAGUAGAGCAUUGAAGGAAGUCCAAUUUAGAUGGAAACAAUGCAUCAAUAAUUGCACAAAACGGUAAACAUUCAACAAUGGUUGUUGUAAGACAAGGUGAAACAAUUAAAUUACCUUUACUGAAAGCCACUCUCUGGCCUUGACAGGAUCAUUUACUGGUUCAAAAGCUGUCCUGAAGUAAGCCUCGGGCGACCUUGGUUCUACUUUGAACUUCUUGCAAAAGGGCAGCCACUGCUUUGAGAAAGUUGCAGCCUCUAACAUGGCAUAAAACGUUAAGUCUGACCCUCCGUCGUCUGAUAGAUAGAUGCUUAACUUCUCCGGCGGAUAAUCAUAAGCCAUCACUGAUAACACUGUGUUGAUCACCAGGCUUGGUGGCUCUAUCAAUGGAUCCGCUGUGCAUACAAAUAUGUCUACUCCCGGUAAUUCUUUUUCGAACCUGUUAUUUUGUCCGAGAUUAAAACGAGCAGAUAAAAAAUAUACUCAGAUAAAAUUAAACACGUACAAUUAUAAAAUACGUAAUAAACUUCAUUCAAUUUUUCUUGAAUUAACUAGUUUUUUGUUAAAAUAACUUCUAUAUGUAUGAGAUACCUUUGGGAGAGCCUGUCUUUGUAAGGAAAGCGGUAGACAGAGUUCCAUCUACAAACUGUGGUGAGAAACCAAUAAAGACUGAACCAUAGCUCAGCAAGAAACAAUCCAAUCCAAGUCCAUCUCUCAACUUUUCCUUCCACUGGGAGAAACCUUACUCUGUAGACACAAAUGAAGCAGAUGCCCACAAAGAUGGAAGCUGCAAACAGCCUGAAAAGAAUCCGUCCCUUAACCGGCCUUGUUUCGAAGAGUGGAACAUAAUCAUCUUUUGCCAUGCCUCCCAGCUCUCUCAACUAGUGUAGAUGGGUGCUAAGAAAGAUGCGGACUGAUGAUUUCAAUGAGGAAGAGUGAAUGGAAAUUGGAAAGGAACCAACAGGUAACAAUGGGGUUGAUGUAGAAUAUAUAUUUUUAAAUAAGGGAUGAUGAGACUUGGUAUUCAAUGAAUUUGUUCGAACUUGUGCUUUGUCUAGAUGUUCAUCACUCAAAGCUUAGUACUUUCUUAAAAGAUAAACUACAACCGUUGCCUUUAAAAACUACAACCGUUGCCUUUAAAAGUUAUUUGUAAUAUUUCGUUGUCAUCCACAAUCGAAUACUAAAUCUGUAACAAUUUGAUAAUUGGUUCAAUUUAAUCGUAUUCUUUUUUCAAUUUUUUAUUCAAAAGAAAGACUUUAAACCCAAUUUUUUAAAUAAAAUAUAAUAUUGCAUGUAUUAGCUUGAAUGGGAUGAACGCUAACGUAUAAAUGUCAAUAUAUAACAUUGAAAGUGGCUGGCAUGUGAGCACCAUGUUACGGCUUCCUUUUCAUAUAUAUUUUUUGUGGCAAAUUUUAAUUUUUAAUUUUUUUUUUUGAAAAUUAAGGGUUUCAUUACUUAGCAUGGAAUCAAGUGUUCCCUGGAUCGGUACAAAAGUUUCGCCCGAUUUUAAGAUGCUAUAUAUGAAUAUGCACAUAUCAUCCCAAAAUCAAGGCCAUCAGUCUGAACACCCCAUCUGCACAAAAGCUUCCCUAUAUAAAAAAAUUCCUAGUACCUAUCGAUACACAAUCAGGCCAAAAUUCAGCCUCACAAAAAGCAUUAACUCGACAUAACUCAUGAACCCUGUUAAAAGUAAAUCCUUCAAUAAGAAUUGCCAGUAUCACUCACACAAGCAGAGUCACGCACAGAUAAAUCACAUAGAAUCAUUAGUCUGGGUCCAGAGCUCAACCAGAGAUGGACUUCCAAACCUGUGAAAUGAGUUUUUAUGGUUGGCAGCAGCAACAAGGUUAGAGAGUGCAGAAGCCUUCUCAAAUUCACACUACUCCUCUCGAGUCGCAGGGUUGCCACCAGGUAGUCUCUCUUCCAACCUUAUUCCCAUAACAAUCAAUCUCCACACUACUCAAAGACAUGUAAAAGAUCUGCUUGACGUUGAACCUCAAUAUACUUUUUUUUUUUUACCAAUGAAUUCAAUUUACUUUAAUUUAAAGGGAUUUCAAAAAUAUUUCUAGUGCAAGAAGGAGAAUUGAGAACUUGUCUAUUUGAACCAGCAAUUUAAAAAGUGAGAGUUUGAUUCAAAAUCAUAUUCAUGGGGUAGCCAAAACUAAGUUGUAGACAUCAUUAAUUAAAUGACACAGCCUUUGUUUGGUCCUAUUCUUUAAUUGGUCGCUUUCUUACGAGACCUAACCAAUGCAUAUUAAGAAAAACAUUUCUUUUUUAAUAGAAAAUUUCGUCAAAGGUAUUUGUUUGUUUUAAAGGCAGUCGAAAGUAUCUGUUAUUCUAGAGUGUUACCAAAAAGAACAAAACGUUUAUAAUAAUACAAAUUGUAAUAUAUUUUUUAACAUUUAUAUGUCAGGAUCUAUUCUUUUACAAGAGAUUAAAACUAUCAUAAAAGAAAAACAGAUGGUUAGAUUCCAACUCCCCAUUUUUCUGAUCCAAUCAUCAUUAAAUAAAUACGUACGAUCAUAGUGUAUUAUUCUUUUGGGUUGCAGAUCUACAAUCUUUUAAAAAUUGCAUUAAUUAAUUAGUUUUUCCAGAUUAAAUUUGAAUCAAUUACAGGAUAAUUAGAAAACUAAUGCACUACCUACUACUGCUGUCCUUUCCUGUGAUUAUUUAUAUAAUUAAUAAAAACUUAAUUAUAAAGUUUUGCCACUAUGAUGUAUGCGCCUAAUAUUACAAACUUAUCCAAAUUCUAUCACCAAAAUGGCUUGAAUAUCAUUGACUGAUUAAUUAUCUAAGUGUGAUGGCUUAAUAAGAAUUUACAAGAAAUAAAUAAAAUUGUAAUAGUUGGUUAAAAAAAAUUAUUGAAAAAAAUCAUCAAAUACUAUUUAUCUUAAUACUUUUAUUUCAACUAUAUUAUCCACACAUGACAUGACUAAUUUAUUAGUGCAAAUCGGAUUAUCUCAAUUAUGAAUUCAUUAAUUCACCCAUCCCACCCUCAAAUUUAACAUUGAAUUAUUGUCAUAUCGGAUAAAGAAUUUGGAAUGAAGAUGAUGAGACAAUUAAAAUAAUUUAGUAGAAUGAUUAACUAAUUAAUUAAUAGAUUUAGUCAAAGAAGUGCUUUUACUGAAGAGUUUGCAUGCUUUCUUGGAAUGGUUUUAUUGAUAAGCACUCAUCUGUUUAUAUACAAGUUACAGCAUUAAUAUAAAAAGAAAAACAAUCUAUACGAUGAAAUAUAUUGUCUAAAUAAAGGUAAUGCCUUAUAAUUGGGCCUACGAUUAAGGAAAGCAAAUCAUUAAGUCAAACCAAAUGGAAAAAUAUCCUUCAUUAUUUACUAACGAAAAUAUUGAACAUAUGAUAAUUUAAUAUGUAAUUUGUAACAUGUUACAUAUUUAAUAGCCUAAGAAAUGAAACAAAUUAUAAAACAGGAGUAGAGAUCCUUAACAUAGAAAUGAUUUCACAUUAGAAACACCAUGGAGUGCUAUAUUUGAUAAAUAUAAGACUUUCUCUUUGUUUUAUAGAAUCGUUUUAAUUUUCACAGGAAUUGGAAUAAUGAAAUUAUGGAAUUGUUUUCCUGAUAGUAAUACCAAUAACAUCACAAUGAAAUUAAAGAUUGUUAAAUUCAUUUAUUUUAAAAUACCCUUGGACUUGAAGCAGAACAAUCUAUUAUUUCAGUUCACAAUACACCUUAUGCAGAAAAUUCUGGAUAGGAAAACGGAACUAAUAAGUACCCUUUUAUCUUUUUUUCGUUGUCGUAGUAAUUUAAUACAUGGCCAGUGUACAGGCCAGCAAGGCAAAGCCAAUUGACUUGUAAGUAACCGAACUGGGCAUUCUACCAUUGUCCUUUCGGAAAAAGAGAGCUUGGUAUACAGGGAAGUUGAUAGUAACCAAAAGCAAACAGAGGAGAAUCUGCAACCCAAAUAGGUCCAAAACCUUGGAGUGAUCAGCUUCCAAGAUGACCUUCUUGAUUGCCCCCAAGCUGCUGAACAGAUUGAGCAUUGCAAGUGUUGCUAAAAUAUCAAACAUUGGUGAAGUAGCACCGAACUCUAUCAGCUCUUGCUCAUAUCUUUUCGAGACAUCGUCGUCAGCUACCUUGGCCGUGAUGACAAAGGCUGCCUUUGAAAACCCUAAUAAAUUCAAGAUGGUGUCGAAGAAGGCAAAGAAGUAGGAGGUUGUUCUUUUGAACAUCCACAUCCUUUGAUCGUUAAACCAACCUUGGAACGUGCCUCCGCACCAUAGGAAUUCUCCAAGGCUAUGGACGCGGUGUGCAAAGGCAACAUAUGCAAAUGGGACCACCCAGAGGGUCGAUGUCUGAUUGUCAAAAAUGAUUUAGUUAUUCAUGUGCAAAUUUACAAACUCCGUGGAUGUGUUAUGUUUAAAGCUCGUUUGACAUUGCAAUUGAGCUGCAUUUAGUCGCAAAUGCAUUGCCAAAUAAAGAUUUGACAAAUUUAAUUGAAAAAGUUGAGUGCUGGAAAUUUAGAAAGCAUAUUAAGAAUGAUGAUAAUGCUAAAGGAAUCAUUUUCGUUUGAAAGAUUUGAUUGUGAAAUUGGUUCCAAAUUCAGCUUGCUGUUUCUAAAAUAGUACAAAAAAGAGCAAGUUUGUCAGUGAGGAGAUUCAUACCUUAGGAAACAAGGAGAUGUCUUUAAGCAGGCAAAGGCAUGGCACAGCAACAUAAUACAACGUUGCCAAGCAGUUUGCAGCCCACAAAUUGUAAGGACAAUAUGCAAGUCGAAGUUUUAGAGGAAUCUUUUUAUGUCCAUACAACAGGGAGCAUUACCUUGACAGGAAUAUUUGCAAGUGACCUUCCGUCCAUCUCUUAUGUUGUAUUAACGUCUGCAAUAAUGUUGUUGGAGCAACUCCUAAGAAAGCUUCUCCUUGAGGAUUUAAGUAUAUAGAUUUCCAACCUCUACAUUGUAUACUCAAUCCUGUAAUUACAUCCUCCGCAGGGAAGCCAUAUGUUAAUCCCAUCUGCAACCAAAUAUUCAUAUCAUUAUUAUUAUGGAAAGUUGUCUGUUUGUGUGCGUGCACGUGCUCAUUUGAACAUGUGUUUAGGUAGGUGAGAAAGAGCAUUACGAACCUCUUUUCCCCAUUGUGUGUUUUGUUCAAAGGUACAGCUUGCAAGAACUUUACAUGUUUCUUCUAGGACGCUUGCACUUUCUUUAACCUUUCUCUCAUUUAGUCUCUUCCAAUCAACCUUACAGUCUUUGUCAUAUUUCUUCCCACAGAGAGCCUCUCUCCGGUGAAAGCAUCCGGAGCCAAUAUAGCAUGGCCCUCCAUUUGCGUCAAGUCCUGGAAGCUCCAACUUGAUUGUUGAUAACCCAUCACAGACAGAUGGAAGGAAAACAAAAAUAAUCAGAAUCUUCCUUAUUAGAUCAAUCACCGGCUUGCAUUAAAUUAAUUAGAGUAAAACAUUUCUGUUAUGCUUGAUUACCUGAUUUAUUACUCGGAAGGAACUACCAUACAAUUCAUUUUUGGUGAGAUUUUCGAAAUUCUGAGGAUACUGCACGUAGGCAAACUCAUCUCCCUUCUCUUCAUCCAUGAAAAAGCAUAAAGAAUUUUUGAUCGAUUCUGAAUUAUUCGAGUACAUAUCACAAUCCACAUUGAGAAUGAUUGGACCAUUACUUAUCCUUGAUGAUACCCUGAUCUAUAUAUUUAUCCACCGUAAAAAAAGGUUUCAAUAACAUAUGAAAAAGAAAACAAUUAGCUAUAAUGGUACUUACAAGAGCAUUCAUGGCUCCAGCUUUAAAAUGGUGGUGAAAUUGCGGUCUUUUCUCUCGUGCCAAAUACACAAGAGUUGGCAGAGGUCUUCCUUCAACAUCAACCGCAUUGGGGUCUCUCCCAUCAAUUAGGAUCUAAGAAAUUGAUUAAAACACCAGCAAUUAAAACUAAGCUCAAGUAUUUUACUAAGUUAUCGAAGCAUAAUUAAUUACUUGAAGAAUGGUUUGAUGAUCAUGUUUGCUUGAAACAAAAUCCCAUUCACGAAAUCCUUUGCGUUGUUUACGAAUGUCUUCAGGAAUUCGGUUCAACUUGGUGGUGGUUUCAAUCCUCAGUUUCAUGUCCUCGUAUAGUUUCUGCAUAAUUAAGAAAAAAGAUGCUUACCUUUUACAUAUAAAUGCUGGAGCAAAUAAUAUAUACUUAACAAUAGUAAGAAAGUUUGUCUCUGGUUUUUUGUUUGUUUCAUUAGUAGGAUCUGUGUUUUCGUUUCGACCAAGGAUGUGCCUUAUUUUUUGAUCGAGAUAUUCUCUUUGUAACACUGCUAUGUUCAUCCAUUUGCUUAGGGGCAAGCAGCUCUAAAACUCUUCUUGCGAAUUAGGUUAGAAGUUUAGCAUUCAUGAUAUUCACUGUCAAUGGCUUUUUGUGCAGUCUCUUUUGUAAGUGUACAGGUUUUCAAUAUUCGAACCAUGUCAAUGUGUCAUGAAAAGUCUAUUGUAGUAAGUAAGAGACUUGAAAUAUGCAUGAUUGAGGUUAAUAAAAUCUAAAAAAAAAGAAAAGUAAGAAAGUAAAAAAUUUAGCUCUAUGGUAUAAAACAACAGAUUAUUAUACUUUUAUAAACUUCUCUUUUAUUAUAUUCAAUCAAACUUUUAUAUUAUUAUUUUAAAUCAAAUAAAUUCUUAUAACUAAUAAUUAACUAAUUGUUGUUGUUAAUUAAAAUGUCUUUUAUUAUUUUAUACCAUGUGAUCAUGAUAUAACAUGUUGUCAUGUCAUAAUAGAUAAUAAUGUAACAUGUCAACGUCACAUAAAUAUAAAAAAAUAAAAAAUUUAAUUAAACAUAAUAAAAAAUAAAAAUUUAUUUAAAUUUAUAAUUCAAAAACUUUUUUACAUAUUAUACUUCCAAAUAAUUUGGUUUAGUAAUAAUUAUCCUCUUUAAUAGAAUAAAGAUUGGAUAUCCAAAUCAUCACUCUCCUUACAUAUAUAUGCAUCAUUUUCAAAUAAAAUUUUUAACCAAAUCGUUUUGUUUUGUUGUGAUUUUUCUUUUUAAACAACUAUUAUAUUCUUAUAAUUCAAAUAAAAUAUUUUCCAAAAAAAAAAGUAUAUAGUUAUCUUUCUAUGUACCCAAUUCUAUUUGGUAAAAAAUAAAUAAAAAUCAAGUUUAUCUCUCAAUCUCACCUCAUUUUUUUGGACAAAUUAACAUGAGACAAACACUGUUUUGCACAUGCUUAAGGUCAAACAAAGACAUUUUGUGCUUGAAAACAAAAAACGUAAUAAUAAUAGUUAAUAAACUUAAACAAAACAAGCAUUAGUAAUUGGUGCUACUCGGAUCGUCAAAAGAUAUUAAUAUAUAGGGAUCCCUAUUGGUUUUGUUUGGUAGCACCCGAAGAUCAAAAUAUCCUAAUAAAUAAAACUCAAAAGUCACUGAUUAAUUAAUAAAUUGCAAAUAGUAAUUUUCAAACCCACGAUAUUGUUGUCCUUUUUGACUUUUAUUGGAGAGUAAGACAAAAACUUUGUUUUUAAAGGACUUUAUAUUAAGAAUUUUAAUUUUUUAAUUUGAUAAUAUAUGGAGUAUUGGUUUGCAAUGCUUUUUAAUGUGAAAAAAAUUCUUCAAAAGACAUUAAAAAAAUUUAUAAUAUAAAAAUAUAAAAUUUUAUAUUAGAACAUUCCAAAGAAAAAGAUAGACAAAGAAAAUAAGAUGGAAGCAAGUAAUAUAAAUUUUCGAUCACAAAAAAUUAAUUUAUUAAGCAAUUACUACCUUUCAAAAAAAAAUUAUUAAGUAAUUACUCAAUGGAAACCUGAAAGUUGUUAAUUAAUAAAACAAAUUAUAAAAAUACUACUUUGGUACAAAAAUCGUAAUUAAUUAGUAGAGUACUGGAGGAAGUCCAAUUUAGAUGAAACAAUGCAACAAUAAUUGCAGAAAACCGCAAAAAGCAAACAUUCAACAGUGGUUGAUGUAAGACAAGUGAAACAAUUAAAUUACCUUUACUGAGAGCCACUCUUUGGCCUUGACGGGAUCAUUUACUGGUUCAAAAGCUGUCCUGAAGUAAGCCUCGGGCGACCUUGGUUCUACUUUGAACUUCUUGCAAAAGGGCAGCCAUUGCUUUGAGAAAGUUGCAGCCUCUAACAUGGCAUAGAACGUUAGGUCUGACCCGCCAUCGUCUGAUAGAUAGAUGCUUAACUUCUCUGGCGGAUAAUCAUAAGCCAUCACUGAUAACACUGUGUUGAUCACCAGGCUUGGUGGCUCUAUCAAUGGAUCCGCUGUGCAUACAAAUAUGUCUACUCCCGGUAAAUCUUUUUCGAACCUGUUAUUUUGUCCGAGAUUAAAACGAGCAGAUAAAAAAUAUACUCAGAUAAAAUUAAACACGUACAAUUAUAAAAUACGUAAUAAACUUCAUUCAAUUUUUCUUGAAUUAACUAGUUUUUUGUUAAAAUAACUUCUAUAUGUAUGAGAUACCUUUGAGAGAGCCUGUCUUUGUAAGGAAAGCGGUAGACAGAGUUCCAUCUACAAACUGUGGUGAGAAACCAAUAAAAACUGAACCAUAGCUCAGCAAGAAACAACCCAAUCCAAGUCCAUCUCUCAACUUUUCCUUUCUCUGGGAGAAACCUUACUCUGUAGAUACAAAUGAAGCAGAUGCCCACAAAGAUGGAAGCUGUAAACAGCCUGAAAGGGAUCCGUCCCUUAACCGGCCUUGUUUCGAAGAGUGGAACAUAAUCAUCCUUUGCCAUGCCUCCCUGCCAGCUCUCUCAACUAGUGUGGAUGGUGAAUGUGAUGAAUCGUACCAUAUAAAAGUCUAUAUAGCACUAAAAGUGGCUGACAUGAGAGCAACGUCUUUCGGCUUACUAUUUAUUGAUUUAUUGUCUUUCAUCUUCAUAUAUAUUUUUCAUGGUCAUUUUUAAUUUUUGAUAUUAAAGAACCAUGGGUUUGUUUUAUUUUCAUAAAAAUUUUAUAUAUUAAUUUCAAUUAUAAUAUUCUAAACAUAUAAAUAGACAAAAAAAAACAUAAUAUCGGUUCAUUUGAAAGAUUAAACUAUAAUUUCAGGUUACAAUAAAAAAAUUAAUCAAAAGUACAUAUGAAAAUUUCAUAAAAAUUUUAAUAAAGACGGAUUCAAUUUACUUUUUUUUACCAAUAAAUUCAAUUUACUCUAAUUAAAGAAAUUUUUUAGAAAAAUCUCAAAGCAAGAAGGAAACUCGAGAACUUGUCUAUUUGAACUAGCAAUUUAAAAAGUGAGAGGUCGAUUCAAAAUCAUACUCAUGGGGUAGCCUAAAUAAGUUGUAGACAUCAUUAUUUAAAUGACACAGCCUUGGUUUGGUCCUAUCCUUUAAUAUUUCGCUUUCUUACGAGACCUAAGCACAUAUUAAGAAAAAAUUCAUUUUUAUUGGAAUUUUAAUGGAAAAUUUCAUGGAAAGUUUUUUUUUCAAAGGUGGUCGAAAGCAUCUGUUAUUUAAAAAAAAUAUAAAACUAUUAUAAGAAUACAAAUUGUAAUUUUUUUAAAUAUUUAUAUGGCAAGAUCUAUUCUUUUACAAGAGAUAUAAAAUAUCUUAAAAAGAAAACAGAUGGUUAGAUUCCAUCUCCCCAUUUUUCUAAUCCAAUCAUCAUUAAUUAAAAUGCAUACUAUCAUAAUAUCAUAUUUUUAUUGGGUGGCAGCACUACAAUCUUUAAAAAAAAUUGCAUUAAUUAAUUAGUUUUUCCAGAUUAAGUCUUAAUUAAUUGCAGGAUAUUCAGAAACCCAAAUGCACUACGGCACUGCCUACUAGUACUGUCCUUUCCUGUGAUUAUUUAUAUAAUUAAUCAAAACUUAAUUACACAUCCUAUUAUUUUAAUGCUACGAUGAAAUCUGGGGCUAAAAGGUUUUGCCACUAUGAUGUAUGCGCCUAAUAUUCCAAGCUUAUCCUAAUUCUAUCACCAAAAUGGCUUGAAUAUCAUUGACUGAUUAAUUAUUUAAGUUGUGAUGGCUUAAUUAGAAUUUACAAGAAAUAAAUUAAAAGUGCAAUAGUUGGUUAAAAAAAUUAUAAAAAAAUCAUCGAAUAUUUUUUUUUCUCAGUCAAAAGUAGUAGAGUUAUCAUCAAAUACUAUUUAUCUUAAUACUUUUAUUUCAACUAUUUAUCCAAACAUGACAUGACUAAUUUAUUAGUGCAAAUUGGAUUAUCUCAAUUAUGAAUUCAUUAAUUCACCCAUCUCACGCUCAAAUUUCACACUAAUUUAUUGUCAUAUAGGAUAAAUAAUUUGGAUGAAGAUGAUGAAACAACUAAAAUAAUUUAGUAGAAUGAUUAACUAAUUAUUUAAUAGGUUUAGCCAAAGAAAUUCUUUUACUAAUGAAAAUAUUGAAAAUAUGAUAAUUUAAUAUGUAAUAUGUAACAUGUUACAUAUUUAAUAGCUUAAGCAGAUUAUGACGAGCACCCAAGCAUUUGAUUUAUUAAUUAAUGUAUAAUCUCUUUGUUUAAAAAGUAUGGAUUUGAAUCUGGCUUCCCUUACAAAUUAAAAUAGAAAUAGAAUUCCUUAAUUUAGAAAUGAUUUUUACCUUAAAAACACCAUGGAAUGCUUUAUUUGAUAAAAAUAAGACUUUCUCUUUGUUUUACAAAAUCAUUUCAAUUUUCAUACGAAUUGGAAAAACAAAAUGAUACAGAAAUGUUUUCCUGAUAGUGAGACCAAUAACAUCAAAAUGAAAUUAAAAAAAAUUGUGAAAUUCAUUUAUUUUAACAUACCCUUAGACAUGAAACAGAACAAUAUAUUAUUUCAGUUCAGAAUACACCUUAUUCUGGAAAGGAAAACGGAACUAAUAAGUACCCUUUUAUCUUUUUUUCAUUGGCGUAGUGAUUUAAUACAUGGCUAGUGUACAGACCAGCAAGGCAAAAACGAUGGACUUGUAAGUUACCGAACUGGGCAUUCUACCAUUGUCCUUUCGGAAAAAGAGUGCCUGGUAUACAGGGAAGUUGAUAGUAACCAAAAGCAAACAGAGGAGAAUCUGCAACCCAAAUAGGUCCAAAACCUUGGAGUGAUCAGCUUCCAAGAUGACCUUCUUGAUUGCCCCCAAGCUGCUGAACAGAUUGAGCAUUGCAAGUGUUGCUAAAAUAUCAAACAUUGGUGAAGUAGCACCGAACUCUAUCAGCUCUUGCUCAUAUCUGUUCAAGACUUCAUCGUCAGCUAUCUUGGCCGUGAUGACAAAGGCUGCCUUUGAAUACCCUAAUAGCUUCAAGAUGGUGUCGAAGAAGCCAAAGAAGUAGGAAGUUGUUCUUUUGAACAUCCACAUCCUUUGAUCGUUACACCAACCUUGGAAUGUGCCUCCGCACCAUAGGAAUUCUCCAAGGCUAUAUGCGCGGUGUGCAAAGGCAACAUAUGCAAAUGGAAGCACCCAGAGGCUUGAUGUCUGAUUGUGAAAAAGGAUUUGGUUAUUCACUUGAAAAUAUUUUUGUUUUAAAGAUUUGAUUGUGACAUUGAUUCCAAAUCAUCAGCCUGCUGUUUCUAAAAUAGUCCCACAAAGAGCAAGUUUGUCAGUGAGGAGAUUCAUACCUUAGGAAACAAUGAGAUGGCUCUAAGCAGGCAAAGGCAUGGCACAGCAACGUAGUACAACGUUGCCAAGCAGUUUGCGCCCCACAAGUUGUAAGGACAAUAUGCAAGUCGAAGUUUUAGAGGAAUCUUUUUAUGUCCGUACAACAGGGAGCAGUACCUUGACAGGAAUAUUUGUAAGUGACCUUCCGACCAUCUCUUAUGUUGUAUUAACAUCUGCAAUAAUGUUGUUGGAGAAACUCCCAAGAAAUCUUCUCUUUGAGGAAUUAAGUAGAUAGAUUUCCAACCUCUACAUUGUAUAGUCAAUCCUGUAAUUACAUCCUCCACAGGGCAGCCAUAUGUUAAUCCCAUCUGCAACCAAAUAUUCAUAUCAUUAUUAUUAUGGAAAGUUGUCUGUUUGUGUGCAUGCACGUGCUUAUUUGUACAUAUGUUUAGGUAGGUGAGAACGAGCUUUACGAACCUCUUUUCCCCAUUGUGUGUUCUGUUCAAAGGUACAGCUUGCAAGAACUUUACAUGUUUCUUCUAGGACGCUUGCACUUUCUUUAACCUUUCUCUCAUGUAGUCUCUUCCAAUCAACCUUACAGUCUUUGUCAUAUUUCUUCCCACAAAGAGCCUCUCUGCGGUGAAAGCAUCCAGAGCCAAUAUAGCAUGGUCCUCCAUUUGCGUCAAGUCCUGGAAACUCCAACUUGAUUGUUGAUAACCCAUCACAGACAGAUCGAAGGAAAACAAAAAUCAUCAGAAUCUUCCUUAUUAGAUCAACCACCGGCUUGCAGUACAUUAAUUAGAGUAAAACAUUUAUGUUAUGCUUGAUUACCUUUUGUAUUACUCGGUAAGAACCACCAUACAAUUCAUUUUUGGUGAGAUUUUCAAAAUUCUGAGGAUACUGUACGUAGGCAAACUCAUCUCCCUUCUCUUCAUCCAUGAAAAAGCAUAAAGAAUUUUUGAUCGAUUCUGAAUUAUUCGAGUACAUAUCACAAUCCACAUUGAGAAUGAUUGGACCAUUACUUAUCCUUGAUGAUACCCUGAUCUAUAUAUUUAUCUACUGUAAGAAAAGGUUUCAAUGGCAUACAAAAAGGAAAACAAUUAGCUAUAAUGGUACUUACAAGAGCAUUCAUGGCUCCAGCUUUAAAAUGGUGGUGAAAUUGGGGUCUCUUCUCUCGUGCCAAAUACACAAGAGUUGGCAGAGGCCUUCCUUCAACAUC